rnacentral:lncRNA from 1 species
UUUUUGAAAACUUGUACUCUUGCUAAACCUGAUCUACUCUUCCCUUUCUCUUCACUCUCUCUUCCCUCUCUUUUCCCUCUUGCUAAUCAAACCCUAACUUUGCUCAAAUUAACGAAAUCCAACGUGGCCUCCUAUGAAACCCUCAGACGGUCUUCACGAAACUCUUCUCUGACCUUCACGAAAUACUCACUCUUCCUUUCACUGUCCGUCAUCGCCACCUUUGUGUAAGGUUUGUGUUUGCGCGCCCUAAAUUUCUGUCUUCGAAAUGUAUUCCUCUAAACAGUGUGCAAUCUAUUGUGGUUAUUAAUUGAAACAAAUAUUGUGUAUGUGUGAUAAAUUUAAUUUGGAGUUUGUGAUCUAAUGCUAUUGCCUGAUAUGCUUGAGUGUUGCUGCUAUUCAUUUUUUCCAGUACAUCUAUUAUUCUUUUCCUUUUAACUUAUCUUUUAGGUUCCUCUUUAUUACUAUCUUGCAUCUUGCAGUUUAUGGUUGGGUUUAGAGACAUUAGGAUCCUUUUGCAGUUGUUUAUGUUAUAAAUUACAAGUUUGAAGUUUUUUGUUUUAGAGUGAACCGAAUUUUCAAGUUUACUCAUACAUAUAUUGGCUCAAAUUCAAGGCCUACACAUUAUUACCUAUAGGUUUCCGGAUUCUACUCCCUUAAUUUGUUUGUAUACUAUUUCUAUUUUUUUUUUCUUUAGUAAGUAUUUCUAGUGAAAUUAUAGGGAUUGUGAUUAGAUAUAUCUAUUUAUUGGGAAGCAAAUUUUGCUAGACUCAGUUUUAUGCUCACAAAGAUUCCGGGUUGCAGAUUCCAUUUCGUGAAGGUCAGAGGAGGGUUUCGUGAAGGUCAGAGGAGGGUAUCGUGGGAGGCAACUUUGGAUUUCGUUGAUCUUAGCAAAGUUAGGGUUUGAUUAGCAGAUUGAGGGAAAAGAGAGGGAAGAGUAGAUCACAUUUAGCAAGAGUGCAAUUUAAAAAAAAAAAAAUCAGUUUCCAACAAGUUUAAAAAAAAAAUCAAUUUCCAACAAGUUUUCGAAAAACAAAAUCAGUUUUAAAAAUAAAAAUAAAAAUAAAAUAAUGAGUAAUGUUGCACGGAAAGAAAGAGAACACGCAAGAUUUGUAUUCUGAAGGACUAGUGGGUGACGCUUUUGUGUCUGUAUAUCCGUAUUUUUUAUUUUUGUUAUUAAUGAGUAUCUUUAUUUAUUGUUAUUAUUAUUACUAGUGGACGAGCCUCUGUCGUAUUAAAAUGUGUGAUUGUGUCUUAU